rnacentral:tRNA from 1 species
GAGGGUCUAGCUCAGUGGUAGAGCACAUGUUCAGGUCCUGGGUUCAAUCCCCAGCGCCUCCA